rnacentral:rRNA from 1 species
AUACAGAGGGGGCAAGCGUUAGUUCGGAAUUAUUGGGCGUAAAGGGCGCGUAGGCGGUUUUUUAAGUGAGAUGUGCAAUCCCCGAGCUUAACUUGGGAACUGCAUCUCAGACUGGAAGGCUAGAGUGCUGGAGAGGGUGGUAGAAUUCCACGUGUAGCGGUGAAAUGCGUAGAGAUGUGGAGGAAUACCAGUGGCGAAGGCGGCCACCUGGACAGUAACUGACGCUGAGGCGCGAAAGUGUGGGUAGC